ensembl:lncRNA
AUGAGUUUGCAAAAGAAAGGCCCAUUCUGCAUGAUGAAGCUAAAGUGGAGCCCCAGAUUCUCUCCUCCGGCCCCCAGGAGCAUGUUACAGGUGCGCCCAAAGGAAUCCAAAGAGAUCGGAUGCCCAGGACACGGGCAGCGCCCGAUGAAACAGCUGCACUCGAGAGUGACUGUGCACACUCUGCAGACACUGAAACCCUGCGUUCCCAGAAACGCAGCCCUGGCAGAGCCCCGGGGUGAAUGUCCGUGGUGUUCGCAAACUCAGAGAUUCAGAAAUUCAGAGACCGUCGUGUCGGCGGAGAGUGGAGCGGGGUGGGACGGAGGCUGCAAUCAACGCGGUUUCGGGAACAAAACUCCCGCCUUUGUAACAAAGCCCAGGUGUGUUUUCCUGGGUGUUCUCCGGCACCUUCCGGCAGGUGGUCCCAGGCGAUGCUGUGGGUCUCUCCCGGCUGGGGACGAAGGGACGCCCGGAGCGAGGCUGGGCCAGAGGCCUGGGGUUCCCGGGUGCCAGCUCCCAUCCCGGGGCCCUCCCCCCACCUCCGGGUGCCAGCUCCCAUCCCGGGGUCCGCCCUCCCCCCACCUCCGGGUGCCAGCUCCCAUCCCGGGGUCCGCCCUCCCCCCACCUCCCCGCUCUCUCCCUUCGCUCUCCUCCCCCUACCCCCUCCCCGUUCCUCUCCCCCCUCCCCCUACGCGCCCUCUCCCUUCCCUCUCCUCCCCCUCCCCCUCCCCCCGCCCUCUCCCUUCGCUCUCCUCCCCCUUCCCCCCUCCACUUCCUCUCCCCCCCCGCCCUCUCCCUUUGCUCUCCUCCCCCUCCCCUUCCCUCCCCGCCGUCUCCUCCCCCUACCCCCUCCCCGUUCCUCUCCCCCUCCCCCUCCGCGCCCUCUCCCUUCGCUCUCCUCCCCCCUCCCCCUCCCCCCGCCCUCUCCCUUUGCUCUCCUCCCCCCUCCCCUUCCCUCCUGCCGUCUCCUCCCCCCUACCCCUCCCCGUUCCUCUCCCCCUCCCCCUCCGCGCCCUCUCCCUUCCCCCUCCUCCCCCCUCCCCCUCCCUCCCCGCCCUCUCCCGCCCAGUCGGCACCCUCGCGCUGCUCAGGGCCCCCCUUUCCUCGACCCCAGGCCCCCAGCACCACCCCGGGCCCGCCUCACUCCUCCCCUGGAAGCAGGUCAGGGAAACUGUCCCGAGGCUCCAGAGCCGCCGAUUCAGACACGAAGACAAAGCGUUCCCCGCGCAGCUCCGAGAAGCUGCGGGACAGCCCGGGCGUUCCUGCCCUGCGGGCGCCGGCGCAGGAGGGGGGGACGGGGAAGGGGGGGACGGGGGCCGGGGGAGGGGGUGGGGGGGCGGGGAGCUUGGGGGGACCGGGGCCGGGGGGAGGGGGCGCUGGCCUCACCCAGGCCCGCAGGUGUCUCGGGAAGUCCCCGGCUCCUGCGCCUCGGCCCGAACGAAUCGCGUCCGGCACCUGCGCGGGGACCCGGGGACCGUGGGGCUCGCGCUGCUGCGUCUUCCCCGGGGCCUCCUGUCCACACCCCCACCCCCGCCUUGGCUGGAAACGCGCCCUCCACGUGACGCCGACCGCGGGCUGGAGACGGGGUGA